GGAAUCUUCCACAAUGGACGAAAGUCUGAUGGAGCAACGCCGCGUGAGUGAAGAAGGGUUUCGGCUCGUAAAACUCUGUUGUUAAAGAAGAACAUAUCUGAGAGUAACUGUUCAGGUAUUGACGGUAUUCAACCAGAAAGCCACGGCUAACUACGUGCCAG
rnacentral:rRNA from 1 species